AUUGAACGCUGGCGGCAUGCCUUACACAUGCAAGUCGAACGGUAACAGGCCGCAAGGUGCUGACGAGUGGCGAACGGGUGAGUAAUGCAUCGGAACGUGCCCAGUCGUGGGGGAUAACGCAGCGAAAGCUGCGCUAAUACCGCAUACGAUCUCUGGAUGAAAGCGGGGGACCGAAAGGCCUCGCGCGAUUGGAGCGGCCGAUGUCAGAUUAGGUAGUUGGUGGGGUAAAGGCGCACCAAGCCAACGAUCUGUAGCUGGUCUGAGAGGACGACCAGCCACACGGGGACUGAGACACGGCCCAGACUCCUACGGGAGGCAGCAGUGGGGAAUUUUGGACAAUGGGCGCAAGCCUGAUCCAGCAAUGCCGCGUGCAGGAAGAAGGCCUUCGGGUUGUAAACUGCUUUUGUACGGAACGAAACGGUCCUGGUUAAUACCUGGGGCUAAUGACGGUACCGUAAGAAUAAGCACCGGCUAACCGCGUGCCAGCCGCCGCCGUAAUAC
rnacentral:rRNA from 1 species